CCAGGGCGGGGGAAUUGGUCCCUGAGCGUUUCCUCCUCACGUUCGCCCCCGCCGCUCUAGGGUUGUGCUCUUCUCUGGCGUCGGCACGUCGCCUUCAGCCCGAUCUCCGGUCGCCGUCCUCCACCGCGUCGGCGGCGGCGCCGUGGCGUGGCGCCACCUGCUGCUCCUCCUCACCGCCCAACUGCUCGCGCUCGCCCUCCUCGCGUUCACGCUCCAGUGCCGCCGUAGUGGCAUGGACGACGCCGGCUCCCCUCGCCUGGCCGUGCCGGCCCCGUCGAGGCUGCAGUCCCUCCACUCCUCCACCGCCUCCUGCGUCGAGGUGCUCGCCGCCCCCGCCGCCCCCGCCUUCCCCUACCUCCACGGCUGGUCCUUCCACUUCGACAUGCCGGACACACACCACCCCAAAGUACUACCUUUCCAAUCUCACCUCCGCCCUCUUCCUCGCCGGUCACCGGCCGAUGUGUUUGACCUGUGAAGCAGGAAGCUUGUUCAAUGAGAUAAAUCCCUGCCUCACGAUUUGCUUCGUGAAGGCCAGAAUUUCGCUCUUAGUUUGUCUACUAAAAAACCUCCAUGUGGGGAUAGAUGUCAUCAUAGAAUGCGUGCAGUAAAAUUAUUCUGACUGUAUUCUGUAUCAUUAUUUUGGUUAGUCUAAAAGAAAUAAUUUGGUUAGAUUUGUCUUGAAGAAUAGAUUCGACAUAUACUUCUAGGUUUUGAUACAGAAAAUAGAAAUUUGUUGCCAAAGCUGUGUAUGGAGACUAUUUCAGUAUCUGGAAGUACACUUGUGACCAGAGGGAUGGCCGCUGUUGCUGCCAACAUAGUGGCAGUGAGCGCAAUCUGGGAGUAACAAGCACACUAUUUAGAGGGGAUGGAGAGCUUUACAAAUGGGAAUGUUAGGUUAUUGAAGCAUGAACGCAGCAUUGUUGCAGAGGAUGAUCUUGACUGUCAGUGGUAGGAAGCCACUGGAGAGGCUGUUUCCGAGGUCUCCAACCGCCCUGCACUCACGGUCCAUCCAAUCGGUGUGCCACAGCUGAGGGAGGAUGAGACCCCCCCUCAAGGUGGGAGGCCUGGAUGGGCAGCGGUGCCAAACCCUCGAAUUGGCCCAUGGUUCCGUUUGAUGCAAAAGGUUGCUGCAGACCAAGGUCUUGUUCCAGAGUUUGAGGUGUGCGUGCAAACGAGCACCUCCGCAGGCCUGGACCGGAUCCUGACGUGGCUCUUCUACCACAAGGUCAUCGGCGUCGCACACUUUUUGCUCUUCGUCAAGGGCAAGGCCGCCAAGCCCAGCAUCGCGGGGGGGUGUGAAGGUGGUGUACAGGACCAAGGACCUUGAGGAGCAGCAGGCCAGCCGAAUCUGGAACGAAACCUGGCUCACAGGAUUCUUCUACAAGCCUUGCAACCACAAACUAUUUUUGAAGCAAGCACUCAACAUGGAGAUGGCCAUUGUGAUGGCCUGGGUAUUUAUGAAUCUGGCAUGGAUUGGAUAAUGCAUCUAGACACCGAUGAGUUGUUAUAUCCCGGUAGUAUUCCAUCAGAUGCCUGUUAGCUGACGUCCCUGAUGAUGUUGACAUGGUUAUUUUUCCUAACUAUGAAAGCAACGUCGAGCGUGAUGAUAUAGAAGAUCCAUUCAGUGAGGGUUCCCUGCCUUCGCCUCUACCAUCGCAGAAGCCGAGGGCACGCCGCCGCCUCUGCUGAUCCCUAGGGACGCCGCCUCCGUGGAUGAAGUGGUUCCAUUCGAUCGGUACACAAGAGGAACCCAUCUAUGGCCACAUCACCCCUGACAUGUUGAUGUGCAUGGAGUAUUCAUAUGAUACACAAGGACAGGAAAUCUAGCAAGCUGGCUGAGAAGUAGACAAGGGUCACGGUGAACUAUUACUAGCUUGAGGAGAUGCUCACAUGAAGACAUGGGUGCCGAAGGUUGCAUACAACUAAAUUGCCUCUGCUACCAUGUGGCAAUGCAACCAUGAAGGGCUUGACGUGUUGGCUGUCAAGAAGCACUAGGUCGACGGCAGGCAAGGCAUCCAGGAAGCCACAGCACGAGAGAGCGAUGACGCUCAAAGGGUGAGGUUGCCAAAUGGUGCGGUGACACUAGCUCGCUAGCCAAGCAGACUACAUUCCGGACUAUUUACACAUCAUGGACUAAAAUUGGACUAUUUACACAUCAUGGACUAAAAUUGGACUUCUUUCUAGACUCACAUCUUUUAUAUAAUAUAUACUCAAGUCUGAUAUGCCUUUUAUUUAUUCUAUAAUUAAGUACAAUCUUUUAAGUUGUUGCUGAAGGAAGAAGACAUGGGGUCAGAAAAAUGUUAAGAUUGACUUGAUGUGUGGUAAGGAACAUCCAGUUGAAAAGUUUUUGAUGCUUGAACAUCCACUACUCAAUUAUUCUUUUAGGUAUGCAUAAUCUGCCAAGUUAUAAGCAGUUCCUUUUAUUUGGGCAGGCAUAAUGACCGUUUCGUAGCAUCAGGUUCAAAAAAAAGUUCUUCAAGUUGUGAAGAGGAGUUCCUGAUUAUAGCUGAAUAUACCAGCCUACUUGCCUACAACCAAGGCAUAAUUAUCAGCGUGUAUGCGAAACAGCCUGCUAGCUGGGUGUGUGCCCCUGUUUGAGCGAGAGGGAGGACCUUUGGUGGGAAGUUAAAGGAUGUGCUCGGAUAUGGUGGUCCAACUGCAAGGAACCAAUCACCCAGAUUCCUUUCCUAGACUGAUGCAGAUGGAGCUUGCAAUCAGAUCCAAAGACUAAUGAAGCUGGGGCUGUCAAACUGACCAAAGCAGGUAGCCACAUCUUAGUCUUGAAAAUUUGCAUAUGGAUGUGGGAGUCCACUCAUAUGUAUGGCUUCCAUGUACACUUUGAAUGGUCCAGGAACAUUUGUAUUUUUCUGUGUGUUGAUUUUUUUCCAAGAGUAUUUGCUUUGUGUCUGUAGACAUUAGGUUAGUUGUCAAGUUGGUAAUUAGAGGAUUAGAUCACUGUAUCAAUCGACAAUCAUCUCGGGAAAGUAUCAUCGUACUUUUGUUAGAUAAUUGGUACUUAUGUAGUUGCAUGUUUUUAUACUUAUAUAUACUUGUAGCCACUUUUAUUG